AUGGCUUUGUCCCCUGGGGUGAUCCCUGCAGUAGCUCUGCUAGUGGGCGGCCUGUUCACCGCCUUCCCUGCGGCGUCCGGCGGCCACGUCGACGUCCGUGACAUGCUGAUGAUGGACAGGUUCCGCCAGUGGCAGGCCACCCACAACCGUUCGUACCUGAGCGCGGAGGAGAGGCUGCGGCGCUUCGAGGUGUACCGCAGCAACGUGGAGUACAUCGACGCCACCAACCGGCGCGGCGACCUCACCUACGAGCUCGGAGAGAACCAAUUCGCCGACCUCACCGGGGAGGAGUUCGUCGCAAGGUACGCUUCGUCGCACGAAGCCGGCGGUGGCACUGGCUCGGUCAUCACGACAGCCGCUGAGGCUGACGGCCUCUGGUCGUCGGGCGGUGGCGACGACUCCUUGGAGGCUCCGCUUCCGCCCAGCGUGGACUGGAGGGCCAAAGGCGCCGUGACGCCGGUCAAGAACCAAGGCUCGCAAUGCUUCAGCUGCUGGGCGUUCUCGGCGGUGGCAAUGAUGGAGAGUCUCUACUUCAUCAAGACGGGGACGCUGGUGACCCUGUCGGAGCAGCAGCUGGUGGACUGCGACAAGUACGACGGUGGCUGCAACCGAGGCUACUACCAUAGAGCCUUCCAGUGGAUCAUGGAGAACGGCGGCCUCACCACGGCGGCGCUGUACCCAUACAAGGCGGUGAGAGGCGUCUGCAUCCGCGCCAAGCCCGCCGUCACCAUCACCGGGCACGCGGCGGUCCCCAAGAAUGAACUGGCCCUGCAGAGCGCCGUCGCGAGGCAGCCCAUCGGCGUGGCCAUCGAGGUCCCAACCAGCAUGCAGUUCUACAAGAGCGGGGUCUUCUCGGCCCCCUGUGGGAUCCAGAUGAGCCACGCCGUGGUGACCGUCGGCUACGGCACCGACGCCUACUCGGGGCUCAAGUACUGGCUCGUCAAGAACUCGUGGGGCCAGACAUGGGGCGAGGCCGGCUACAUCCGUAUGCGCCGCGACGUCGGAGGCGGGGGGCUCUGCGGCAUCGCGCUCGACACCGCUUACCCGACCAUGUGA
rnacentral:rRNA from 1 species